GUAAUCUCUACACUGUAUGUGGGGCUUGAACCCACAACGCCAAGAUCAAGAGUUGCACUCUACCGACUAAGCCAGUUAGGCACCCCACAAAUGGAACCCUUAUACACUGCUGUGCAGCGUCAAGGAGGAUAUUUGAACCUGGAUCUCCAUACUCUUGGCCAUUAUACUCUUCUGCUGGCUUCAGACUUCCAUGGAAGCUAUGGAACCAUAUGCUCUAUCAAAUAUUAAGAUAAAUCACAAAAGAGAAAGCCAUGAAAUCCAGGAAAAAGGUGGACCAACACAAGAG